rnacentral:rRNA from 1 species
UACGUAGGGGGGCAAAGCGUUGUCCGGAAUCAUUGGGCGUAAAGCGCGUGUAGGCGGUUCGGUAAGUCGGCUGUGAAAGUCCAGGGCUCAACCCCUGGGAUGCCGGUCGAUACUGCCGGACUAGAGUUCGGAAGAGGCGAGUGGAAUUCCCGGUGUAGCGGUGAAAUGCGCAGAUAUCGGGAGGAACACCAAUGGCGAAGGCAGCU